rnacentral:misc_RNA from 1 species
AUAGGAGAGAAGAGGAGAGGAGGACGAGAGAAGAGAAGAGGAGAGAAGGAGGAGAGUUAGUUUUGAAAGAGGCGCACCUCGCUUGGUGCCUCAAUGCUUUGGCGAGAGAGGCACUCACUUGUUGAGACUAGGCCUGGCCUGGCCUAGCGCCUCGUCCGGUGCCUUUUGGCACCUUUAAUAACACUGACUCAAAUGUUUGUUGAAAUAUCGCACAUUGAAUAUGAGCUUGAAGUUUCCUCCAUAACUCCCAUAACAUUUUUUGUAGUGUAUCUGUCCCACCUAAAAGUGGCUAUAUUUCAAUAUAUUCUAUUCAUGUCCCAAUUCUAAUCAUUUAAUAUCCAUUUUGAUGUCAUUGACAUAUAUUAUGCUAUUUCUAGUCUCUCUCUUUCUAUUUCUAUAUAUAUGUAAAGUUUAAAAGCCAUCCUAUAAUAAUCCAAAAAACUGAAAUGUAAAAGAAAAAUGGAGGUUUUGUAUAAUUUUUAAACUUUUAUACUAGGUAGUCUCUCACAUCAUUAUGCACAAAGAUAAUCUUUUUGGUUGUUUUGUCCAGACCAUAUUUCUAAGAAAAACAAGCUGAUCCUAAAAUGAAAUUAGUAGCUGAUAACUAGAUAAGGAAUUGCAAACAAGGAUUACAUUAAUUAUAGAGAGUAC